rnacentral:rRNA from 1 species
GAUGAACGCUAGCGGCAGGCCUAAUACAUGCAAGUCGAACGGGAUCAGGGAGCUUGCUCCCUGUGAGAGUGGCGCACGGGUGCGUAACACGUAUGCAACCUACCUUCAACUGGGGGAUAGCCUUCCGAAAGGAAGAUUAAUACCGCAUAACAUAAUUGAAUGGCAUCAUUUGAUUAUCAAACGUCAGGGUUGAAGAUGGGCAUGCGUCAGAUUAGCUAGUUGGUGUGGUAACGGCACACCAAGGCGACGAUCGGUAGGGGAUCUGAGAGGAUGCCCCCCCACACUGGUACUGAGACACGGACCAGGCUCCUACGGGAGGCAGCAGUAAGGAAUAUUGGUCAAUGGACGCAAGUCUGAACCAGCCAUGCCGCGUGCAGGAAGACGGUCCUCUGGAUUGUAAACUGCUUUUGUGAGGGAAGAAACCCUCGGAUGCGUCCGGGGCUGACGGUACCUAAAGAAUAAGGAUCGGCUAACUCCGUGCCAGCAGCCGCGGUAACAC